rnacentral:rRNA from 1 species
UGGGGAAUAUUGCGCAAUGGGCGAAAGCCUGACGCAGCUACACCGUGUGAGCGAUGAAGGCUUUAGGGUCGUAAAGCUCUGUCAAAUGGGAAGAAUUCUGACGGUACCAUUAGAGGAAGCCCCGGCUAACUCCGUGCCAGCAGCCGCGGUAAUACGGAGGGGGCAAGCGUUGUUCGGAAUUAUUGGGCGUAAAGCGUAUGUAGGCGGCCGAGUAAGUCAGGCGUGCAAGCCCGUGGCUCAACCACGGAAUUGCGUCUGAAACUACUUGGCUUGAGUACAGGAGAGGAAAGCGGAAUUCCCAGUGUAGCGGUGAAAUGCAUUGAUAUUGGGAAGAACAUCUGUGGCGAAGGCGGCUUUCUGGUCUGUUACUGACGCUGAGAUACGAAAGCCAGGGGAGCGAACGGG